GGAUCAAACAGCUUACCAGUCUCAAGUUUCAUUCCCAAGAACUCUUGUCUUCAGAUAGUUGCCUAGAAAGCCUGUGCUAGAUGAAUUCAGGUGGAAGUGUUAAGAACUAUGGUUUUCAACACACUUUCAUGCAACAGUUCCUUGGGAACAGCCUUGCUGCUUCUGUGAUAUAUUGUACGUAACCCAACUGAUCCUACACAAUUAGCCACUGAUGUCUGCCCAUCAUGAGAGCGAAAGUCAAAGAAAAGGACUAUAACUCAGAACAGAGCCCGCUGGGAUAUCACUUCUGAGCCUGGAUCUCCACUGAUAAGGAAGAACACAGAGGAGCAAUUCAAGCUGGCACCAGGGGACGCACGCUUCCAAUACAUAGAAAACACCUGAAGCUGGUGAUUGACUAUUUCCUGAUAAGAUUUCAGAAGUUGGGCAAGCAGGCUCAAGCAUGCACACUGGGAAGUAAAAUGGCAGCGUUUAACUGGUAUAUGACCUUCCUCUGGAAACACUUGACAGGUAAGGGAAAAAUGCCUCAAAUGAACACGUGCACAACUUCAGUAGACACCUG